rnacentral:rRNA from 1 species
CCUACGGGUGGCAGCAGUGGGGAAUAUUGGACAAUGGGGGCAACCCUGAUCCAGCCAUGCCGCGUGUGUGAAGAAGGCCCUCGGGUUGUAAAGCACUUUCAGUGAGGAAGAACGCCUGGUGGUUAAUACCCAUCAGGAAAGACAUCACUCACAGAAGAAGCACCGGCUAACUCCGUGCCAGCAGCCGCGGUAAUACGGAGGGUGCGAGCGUUAAUCGGAAUUACUGGGCGUAAAGCGCGCGUAGGUGGCUUGAUAAGCCGGUUGUGAAAGCCCCGGGCUCAACCUGGGGACGGCAUCCGGAACUGUCAAGCUAGAGUGCAGGAGAGGAAGGUAGAAUUCCCGGUGUAGCGGUGAAAUGCGUAGAGAUCGGGAGGAAUACCAGUGGCGAAGGCGGCCUUCUGGACUGACACUGACACUGAGGUGCGAAAGCGUGGGUAGCAAACAGGAUUAGAUACCCCGGUAGUC